UCAGAUAGAGACAACUGUGGGUGGCUGAC
rnacentral:piRNA from 1 species